GAGAAUAUAGAUCAGUGGUAGACUGUUUGCUUAGCAUGCAUGAGAUCAUGGGUUCAAGCCCCAGUACUUCCA
rnacentral:tRNA from 1 species